GACGAACGCUGGCGGCGUGCCUAAUACAUGCAAGUAGAACGCUGAAGGAGGAGCUUGCUUCUCCGGAUGAGUUGCGAACGGGUGAGUAACGCGUAGGUAACCUGCCUGGUAGCGGGGGAUGACUAUUGGAAACGAUAGCUAAUACCGCAUAAGAGUAGAUGUCGCAUGACAUUUGCUUAAAAGGUGCAACUGCACCACUACCAGAUGGACCUGCGUUGUAUUAGCUAGUUGGUGAGGUAACGGCUCACCAAGGCAACGAUACAUAGCCGACCUGAGAGGGUGAUCGGCCACACUGGGACUGAGACACGGCCCAGACUCCUACGGGAGGCAGCAGUAGGGAAUCUUCGGCAAUGGACGGAAGUCUGACCGAGCAACGCCGCGUGAGUGAAGAAGGUUUUCGGAUCGUAAAGCUCUGUUGUAAGAGAAGAACGAGUGUGAGAGUGGAAAGUUCACACUGUGACGGUAUCUUACCAGAAAGAGACGGCUAACUACGUG
rnacentral:rRNA from 1 species